UAUUUCAUUUAUGAAGAAAAAAAAAAAAAAAACAAACAAAAAAAUAUUCCAAAAUGCAAAUAAAACUGUUUAUUUCAAGUUCAAUCUGUAAUUGUUGAAUAUUUUGGAGCUCAAAGACAUCCUGAACUGUAUGCUGCUGAAACACGAGUUGGAGCUGAUUUGGGAUUAAGAUUUGGUGGAAGAAGAGAAAUUCAAGUUCAAGCUGCAAAUCCAAGUGUGACGAAUGUCAGAACCCGAAGACCCGAUAGUCGAACAAGAAGACGAGUUUUUUAUCUGCUUUAAUAGAUUUCAAAUAAAAUAAAUAUUUGUUUAUUUGAAAAAAUGUGA